rnacentral:tRNA from 1 species
UCUAGUUUAACAUAUUUGAAUGUGAGGGGUUGUAAACUUCUUUAAGACAGUAGUCAACUAGGA